UGCGCAGGCGGUUUCUUAAGUCCGAUGUGAAAGCCUUCGGCUUAACCGGAGAAGAGCAUCGGAAACUGGGAGACUUGAGUGCAGAAAAGGACAGUGGAACUCCAUGUGUAGCGGUGAAAUGCGUAGAUAUAUGGAAGAACACCAGUGGCGAAGGCGGCUGUCUGGUCUGUAACUGACGCUGAGGCUCGAAAGCAUGGGUAGCAACA
rnacentral:rRNA from 1 species